GUGACAGCAGCCGCGGUAAUACGUAGGGACCAAGCGUUGUUCGGAUUUACUGGGCGUAAAGGGCGCGUAGGCGGCUUGCCAAGUCACUUGUGAAAUCUCUGGGCUUAACCCAGAACGGCCAAGUGAAACUGGCAUGCUAGAGUGCAGAAGGGGCAAUCGGAAUUCUUGGUGUAGCGGUGAAAUGCGUAGAUAUCAAGAGGAACANCUGAGGUGAAGACGGGUUGCUGGGCUGACACUGACGCUGAGGCGCGAAAGCCAGGGGAGCAAACG
rnacentral:rRNA from 1 species